UCUACCAAAUUUAAACAUUCUCUCAAGAAAAAGAGCAGUAGAAGAAAAAGUGAUGGUCGAGUCAGCUCCGUAUCAAUUGAGGAUGUUCGGGAUGUUGAAGAACUAGAGGCUGUUGAUGCUUUUCGACAAGCAUUGAUUUUAGAUGAACUGUUACCUACAAAACAUGAUGAUUAUCAUAUGAUGUUAAGGUGCCCAUUCCUUCAACUUUUUAAAUUUUUCACUGCAUGGUGCUACUAUGUUUAGCUCCCCAAAAUAUUGGACUUUGGGACCAUUGAUUUGAUUCCUGUGUUAGGAAUCAAAGGUAAAUUUGGUUGCCUUUGAGGUUUUGUUCAAUGGUAAAUUUAUUCUUGAAACAUUUAUACUAAAGAAACAUUUUUUGAUUUGUAUUCCUGAAUAAAGGGUACGUAGGUUUGAUGGGUUGGGUGGCAUUUGGAACUCAUUUGUGGCUUAUGCUUUUGGGGCGACAUAGUGCUCCUUUUGGGUGUCCUUGUGCCAAAAUUUAGCAUUAUCCUCUGGAUUGUAUAAGUUGAUUGGGUGUAUUCGAGUAGGUCAUUGUUGCAAAUGUCCCACUAUAAGUGCAUGUAUGAUGGCACAAAUAGGGUAGAUUUUGAUGGUGUAUGACGAAUGGGAAGGCUACUUUCUCAAGAAGUGUUAUGUGACACCAUUGCUUGCUUAUACUUGGAUGUUCACCUCUCCUCUCACUUUAACUAAAGUAGCUUGCUUAAUCAUUUUGGAUUGAACAAGUGAAAACUUGACAAAUGGUUAAUUAAGUAAAUUUCUUUUGGUAAGCAUUAAUAAGUUCAUUACAAGGCACCAAUAGAAGGGUCACAACCCAAUUACACAUGAAAGAUGCAUGAACACCUUGAAAGGGAGCUUAAUUAAGUAAUGAACUAAGCUUUCUAUAGGGAUUGCUUUCCUACAAAUCACGAUUAUGUUACCAUACCUUCUUUCCUCAUGUUACUUUCAUGUGGGGUGCAUGUUACCAUGCUUUGCAGCAAGUAGUCUAAUUUGGUUCAACCAUCUCAUUGUUUUAAUUGAUUUCUUUUUCUUGUUCUUUCUGGUGUGAUCAAGUUGACUUGUUUCUAUAGUCGGUAUCAAGAACAUGCUAAAUUGAUUUAUUAUCCAAUUGGACGACAUAUUUAUAGUUUAGCAUGAUAUAAAUAUUUUAUGUUCCAACUAUUUUUUAUUAUAUGGUAUUGCUUCAACUAUGUUUUCAUAAUGAGUAGGUAUAACAUUGUUAAGAGCAUUAUAUUACUUGCAGGUUCUUGAAAGCAAGGAAGUUUGAUAUUGAGAAAGCAAAGCACAUGUGGACUGAUAUGAUUCAGUGGAGGAAGGAUUUUGGUGCUGACACAAUUUUGGAGGUAUCGAUAUCUGAUGAUUUGCCUGAAUUUGGUGAUGGAUUAUUCAAAAUACUUUUGGCAUCUGGCUUUGAGUUAAUAUAUUUUCUAUGCUUUUGUAAAGUUGGCAUCCAAGCAGCUAUUGUAGUUGUUAUUCUAUCAUUAUAUGUUGUUAUUAUCAAAUAUGUAUGUAUGUAUGUGUCUAUCUAUCUAUAUAUGCAUAUAUCCUUUCUUCAAUUUUAUAAGUGCUGUUUUGUACCAAAUUCUUUGACAUGUUUACCUGUUUGAUAUUGUUAUCAGGAUUUUGAGUUCAAAGAGUUGAAUGAGGUGUUGAAAUACUAUCCCCAUGGUCAUCAUGGUGUGGAUAAGGAGGGAAGACCUGUUUACAUUGAAAGACUAGGAAAAGUUGAUCCUUACAAACUUAUGCAAGUUACAACUAUGGAUCGGUAUGUUAAAUACCAUGUGCAGGAGUUCGAGAAAAGCUUUGCCC
rnacentral:lncRNA from 1 species